UUUUCAAUAAAAUAAAAAUUUCACCAAUCACUUCAAAUAUUAUCUCAUUAGCCUUCUUGUUUCUCAACCAAGACAUUUUUUUUACCCACCUAAACCAAAAAAAAAAAAGUGCCAAAUAUGUCUAAAACAGAUUCAAUUAUCCAAUUUACAAAAAACAGUUUCUGAAUCUGCAAAUAGUCUUUUAACACCUUGCAAGUUGCUUACUAGGACAAAACUUGCUAUCACUCAUCAAUUAUUAUUAUUACCAUUAUUAUUAUUAGGAAAUAAUACCAAAUACAUUAUCAUCAGUCUCUGAUUUAUCCAUUCCUCUUGUUUCUCAACCAAGACAUGUUUUUUUCCCACCUAAACCAAAAAAAAAAAAGUGCCAAAUAUGUCUAAAACAGAUUCAAUUAUCCAAUUUACAAAAAACAGUUUCUGAAUCUGCAAAUAGUCUUUUAACACCUUGCAAGUUGCUUACUAGGACAAA
rnacentral:lncRNA from 1 species